UCUUCAGAACCCUCCAUACCCUGCCUUAGAUCCCGACUGCCAGGCUCUGACCAUGUCCUUGUUUGUGCAAGAGUCCUGGUUUCCAUUGUCCUGGGAGGAGGGGGAUUCCUCUCUUAAAAUUAUGGCUGGGAAAUCUGGAGUCAACAACAGGCCCUUUCUAGCCUUUCCUCCCACCCCAAUCCUCCCCCCCCCCCAAAACAUAUUACUGGGUCUCUGGCCCUGUUUUUCUGCCUAAGAGUUAACAAGGAAGGACUGCACCAGCCUGACCCCCACCAUCUCCUGUGGCUUGAAGCAGAGACUCUGGAAUGGCAGGCUCGAAUCCAGGAGAAAAUAACUUCCCAGCAUCAACAUCAGCCUACUCCAAUCAAGUGGCUUUCCAAAUGCUAUAAAGCUGAGGCUCCCAAGCUCAAGGAUCCAAGAGAUAGGCAGGCCUUGUGCCAGCCCCGAGGCCUGGGUCCAGCUUGCUUGUGUGUUCACAAUUUGUUUGUAAAUAAAGAGUCGCUGUGAA